GAUGAAGAACGCAGCGAAAUGCGAUACGUAAUGUGAAUUGCAGAAUUCAGUGAAUCAUCGAGUCUUUGAACGCACAUUGCGCCCCCUGGUAUUCCGGGGGGCAUGCCUGUCCGAGCGUCAUUUGUACCUUCAAGCUUUGCUUGGUGUUGGGUGUUUGUCCUGAGGGACUCGCCUUAAAGUAAUUGGCAGCCAGUGUUUUGGUUUUGAAGCGCAGCACAAGUCGCGAUUCAAGGCUAUACGCCAGCUUCCACAAGCCUUUUUCACUUUUGACCUCGGAUCAGGUAGGGAUACCCGCUGAACUUAAGCAUAUCAAUAAGCGGAGGA
rnacentral:misc_RNA from 1 species